GGGCCCUGCGGCGGGCCCAGCUCCCCGCGCCACGCACUGGGGUCCCGGGCCGGGCGGGAGGCGGCGGGGGCUCCGACCCCGGAGCCCUGCACCCCAGUGCGGGUGUACAUGGUUCAGAGCCCGCGGGGCCCGGGCCGCCGCCGCUGCGGGAAGGGUGAGGGCCGAGCUGGGACGCUUCGCGGGUCUCGAGAUGCGUUUCCGAAGAGCGGGAACGGCGGUUUCAGCAGCUGAGUUUCGAUUCUCGCCACCAGCCGCGGGCUGCCCCGCCCCCCAGGACUUCCCCGACCUUACUCCUCCCCUGGCGCCCUCCGACCUGAUCGCAGGUGACAGCGCCGGCCGCGACGCCCUGCCCCGCCGGCGAUGUUGAAUGGAGCGCGCCUGGCCAGCUACAUACAGGUAAGCCUGGCCUAUUCAGAUGAGUCCUUUAGAAGAGGAGAAUUUCUCCAGAUGGAGAAGGGAAGUCAGAGAUUUGAAGCACAAGAGGUUUGAACAUACUGUUGCUGGCUUGAAGAUGGUGGUACAACAUGUUGAAGAAUGCAGGUGACCUCAAGUAGCUGAGGAUGGUUCUGGCUGACUGCCAGAAAGAAAACAGGGACCUCAGUCCUACAACUACAAGCAACUAAAUUCUACCAACAACCCGAAUGAAGCAGAUCUUUUUCCCAGAGCAUAGAUAAGAGCCCAGCCUAAUGACACCUUGAUUUUGAUCCUGUGAUACCCCGAGCAUAGAACCCAGCCAAGCCCUCUUGGAUUUCUGACCUACAGAACUGUGAGCUAAUAAAUAGUUGUUGUUUUAGGA